GACGAACGCUGGCGGCGUGCUUAACACAUGCAAGUCGAACGGAAAGGCCCUGCUUUUGUGGGGUGCUCGAGUGGCGAACGGGUGAGUAACACGUGAGUAACCUGCCCUUGACUUUGGGAUAACUUCAGGAAACUGGGGCUAAUACCGGAUAGGAGCUCCUGCUGCAUGGUGGGGGUUGGAAAGUUUCGGCGGUUGGGGAUGGACUCGCGGCUUAUCAGCUUGUUGGUGGGGUAGGGGCUUACCAAGGCUUUGACGGGUAGCCGGCCUGAGAGGGUGGCCGGCCACAUUGGGACUGCGGUACGGCCCAGACUCCUACGGGAGGCAGCGGUGGGGAAUAUUGCCCAAUGGGCGGAAGCCUGAUGCAGCAGCGCCGCGUGCGGGAUGACGGCCUUCGGGUUGUAAACCGCUUUCGCCUGUGACGAAGCGUGAGUGACGGUAAUGGGUAAAGAAGCACCGGCUAACUACGUG
rnacentral:rRNA from 1 species